ensembl:piRNA 21ur-13278 ncRNA
UGAAUACUUUGAUUGAUUUGA